CACUCUCCAGUUAAUGAGAACUGAAAUAACCAGGGCCUGAUCUAACAAGGUAUCAUGCAGAACCAAGACACUGCGAAAACCUUUUAUAAUCAACAGCUUGUGUGCGGAUGCUGAAGUUAGACCAAGUGUUUUUCUUGUAUAAUACAGUUGUGAUAUUUCUUUGUUAAAGUGGAGAAUUCCAUUCCAGAGUUCAAGAUAGCUG